UGGAAUGAAACUCUGGAGAACCGAGUCCUCUGUUUAGCCCCAGAGCAGGUACAGCACAGGUAGGAGUGGUGCAAGCUUCACGCAUGCUGUACCCACCAAUGUACCUUAAGCCUGAACCUCGGAGAGACAACACCCUCUGGAGACAGGGUGGGAGGAGCUCAGCUUUCAGGUAUCCCUUCCUUCCUCAGUCCCU
rnacentral:sRNA from 1 species